rnacentral:tRNA from 1 species
GGGGUUGUGGCUCAGUGGUAGAGCACUCACCUAGCACGGUUGAGGCACUGCGUUCAAUCCUCAGCACCACA